GACGAACGCUGGCGGCGUGCCUAAUACAUGCGAGUAGAACGCUGAAGGAGGAGCUUGCUUCUCUGGAUGAGUUGCGAACGGGUGAGUAACGCGUAGGUAACCUGCCUGGUAGCGGGGGAUAACUAUUGGAAACGAUAGCUAAUACCGCAUAAUAUUGACUAUUGCAUGAUAGUCAGUUGAAAGGUGCAACUGCACCACUACCAGAUGGACCUGCGUUGUAUUAGCUAGUUGGUGGGGUAACGGCUCACCAAGGCGACGAUACAUAGCCGACCUGAGAGGGUGGUAGGCCACACUGGGACUGAGACACGGCCCAGACUCCUACGGGAGGCAGCAGUAGGGAAUCUUCGGCAAUGGACGGAAGUCUGACCGAGCAACGCCGCGUGAGUGAAGAAGGUUUUCGGAUCGUAAAGCUCUGUUGUAAGAGAAGAACGAGUGUGAGAGUGGAAAGCUCACACUGUGACGGUAUCUUACCAGAAAGGGACGGCUAACUACGU
rnacentral:rRNA from 1 species